AAGCAGUAGAAAAAUAAGAAAACAAACAAAACAAUAAACAAAUACGAUCGACGAAGCACACUCGUAUUGUAGUUGUUUAUAAAUAUUUGAUGAGUAUAGGCCUAUGUAGCCUGACUUAUUUGUUUAAAAUGCGCAUUUAAUCUUUCAGCCGAAUCACAUAUAUUAAGCUCAGUUUCUAUCAUUUACCUGUUUGUUUAUAUUUAUAAUAUUUUAUAUAUAACGCCUGCUAUGAGGUAUAUAUAGGCCUACAAAGCAUAGGUCCACGGGUGUUCUUGAGAUAUGUGAAUCAAUAGAAAAAAAAACGAUGAGAUAAAAAGAUAAAUACUUAGCAGACUGAGAACACAAGUAACUUUAUUGCACAAGUUGACUUAUUUAUCUAAUUUGAUUGGUUGAAAAUUAUUAGGACCUUUAUGUAGGGCCUAUUAAAAUAUAUCGAUAUUCGUAGCAGGGUACUACUACUCAUAUCUACCUAAAUUGUUGCAGAGAAAGGCAAUCAUCAUUCUUAAUCACGUGACUUGAUCGAAGUUCCGAUCGUUAAACCUGGUCGCUUGUCACUGAUAAUAUCCCCGGACGCAAGUAGAGAAGAUACGGAAGACAAUCAGCCCGUACGUAACUCGUUGUACCAACACCACUGUCUUCGGAAGUUGCAUAUACAUUCAUAUAUUUAUGUAGUGCAGAUUUGCGGUAUGUGUAUUGUUUUACGUUGUCAAUGUGUAGUCCUUCUAGGCGCGUGACUAAUGCAAUCUGCUAUCUAAAAAUCGUGAUAUUCGUAACUCCAACAAAUCUGCUGAGGAAUAUUUUCUCAUAAAAUAUUGUCAGUUCCCGAGAGGAAGUGUCAGUAUUUAUCGCUUCUACAGUAUUUCUCAUUCUUAAGAAUGCACCGAAUAGAGGCAAGCACAGUUAUAUGAAAUGCUCUUCGACGAACAGUUCAGAUUCGUUGGUUUUUUUCAAGCGGGUGCAUGAGGAAGAAUUCAUCUAAUGAGAUGAUGCUGAUAAGGAACGUACUUUAAAAAAGCGUAAUGUAAGAAAAAGCCAUAACUUGACAUUUCAUCUUCAAUCAAAUAUUGCAUACACCUUUACGGGAGUACUUGGCUUCUAUGCUGGAAUCUAGGCUGACUGUAUAAGGAUGGUGUCGUCCCUCGUACAUUGCAAGGUCGUAACAAACUUGUUUAUUUUCUGAACCAACAGCGUGCAAUUUUAGAAUUCAGCCAACUUCACCACCUAAGUUGAUUUAAACAGCUGUUUUAAAAUUAUUUUACAAACAUUAAUUGAUAUAACGAUUUGUCCGAAAAUGCUGCAGUGUUCGAAAUUUUUGUUUCGUUGCCCAUUUUUCUCUGUCGUCAGUUGUAUCGUUACAUUAGUGCUGAUACCUACGAAAGCAGGACCACUUAAAAGUUUGCAAACUGUGCCGCCUGAUGAAAACAACACAGGGAGACAGGCUCAUCUCUCUCAAAAUGACCAAUCGAGACGUAACAGCCUAGCAAUUGAGCCACAAUAUAGUUUUGAUCCCGAGUACGAUGACAAUAGUAAUGUUGGAAACUUAAAAGAUCAACUCAACAUGGACAUCACUUCAACGAUACUACUCAGAGAUCUGUAUAAUACAACUUAUGCAAAUAUACCCGGCGCAAAAAAAGUGGAUAUGUUGGGAGCAAUGUUGAAGACUAGAAUCGAUCGGUUACGAAAUGUUGAAAAUAGUCAACUGGAAUUGGUAUUUUUGGUGGACAGUUCAGCAAGUGUUGGGAAAACAAACUUCUUUAACGAAUUAAAAUUUGUUAAAAAGGUUCUCGCUGAUUUUGUUGUUUCCUACUGGUCCACCCGAGUUGCUGUUAUUACGUUUGCAUCUAGAACUCGUGUUUUGAAUGUCACGGAUCAAAUCAGUUUUCCAACCAUAGAACAUCAUAAAUGUUCUUUGUUUACUGAAGAACUGCCAAAUAUAACUUAUGUUGGCGGAGGAACUUACACAAAAGGAGCUUUUGAAAACGCAUAUAGUAUUCUGAAAAAAGCACGCAAGGACGCUACAAAGGCAGUUUUCCUGAUAACAGACGGAUACUCCAAUGGGGGUGACCCACGUUCAAUUGCUAAAAAGUUACGAGCUGAUGAUGUUGAGAUCUUUACUUUUGGUAUUUCAAAUGGCAAUGUGCGUGAAUUGUAUGAAAUGUCUUCGCUACCUAAACACGAACAUUGUUACAUAUUAGAAGACUUUCAAGAAUUUGAAUCAUUGGCACGGAGGGCGUUGUAUGAAGACCUUAUGACUGGGGAUUAUAUUAUGGUGAACAGUAGGAAAUGUAGGAAUUGUAAAGAUCGAGUAAAUUGUUGUGACCCUCUAGCCACAUGCAAAUGUGGCACCCUGAGUGGUCAGUAUGAGUGCAUUUGUCCUGCUGGGUUUUUUGGAACUGGACUAAAGGGAGGAUGUCAAGCUUGUCCAUCAAACACCUACAAGAGUGAGCCCUCGCCUGGCGGUAUUGGUACGUGUAUACCGUGUCCUCAGCCUUAUCGUUCAAGCCCUGCAGGAAGUACUGCACUGUCAGAUUGCAAAUGCGAUGAGGGUUUCACAGAGAAGCAUGGAAGAUGUGUUGGCAUUCAAUGUCCGGUUCUGUUUCCACCUGAGCAUGGUAGCUUCAUCAAUGAGUGUGGCAACCGUGUUCACUCAGCGUGUGCAGUCACGUGUGACCUUGGAUACAACCUGGUUGGUGGGUCUAAUUUGUUAGUUUGCACCCCAAAAGGAACAUGGAACCAUCAGACACCACGCUGUGAAUUGAAAAAAUGUGAAAUGUUUCCUGUGCCAGAAAAUGGUUUUGUGAAUUGUAGCAGAAAUGAUUAUGCAUUUGAUACAGUCUGCAAGACGACCUGUGACCCUGGAUUCAAACUACUGGGAUCAGCCUCUCGUGUGUGUCUCCUAAUUGCCAAGUGGGAUGGACUGAAUCCCAUCUGUAAAGGUGUUAUGUGCAAGCCAAAGUUACCAUCAAAAUUUGGUAGUUUUUCACCAGCAUCAUGUUCAAAGGAAAGCAGUAGUGUUGGCCAAGAAUGCGUAUUUAGCUGCCAGACAGGAUACAGAGUCAUUGGAAACCCUUCCUACAGGUGCCUGGAUACAGGGAAAUGGGAUAGAAAAUUUAACAUUCUGAAUGCUUGUAAAGAUAUUGUUCCACCAACCAUUGUCUGCCCAAGAGAUAUUUACAUUGAUGCUCAAUUACAUGGAAACAAGGCUCGAGUAAAACACUGGAGACUACCAACAGCUCAAGAUAAUUCUAACAAUGUUACUAUAUCAACCCUGUAUAGGACCAUUAAUCCACCUUACUUUUUUAACAUAGGCACGAAUAAUAUAACAUACCAAGCACGUGAUAGGGCGGGAAACACCGCAACUUGUUCCUUCAUUGUCUAUGUUAAAGAUACUCAGAAGCCAAUUGUUGACCGGUGUGGCUCCCCACCCCCUGUUCUGUCCCCAGACCCAUUGACAAGGGUCAGAUGGAAAGAGCCAAAGUUCUCAGAUAAUUCUGGAUUGAAGCCUGAGAUCGUGUCUUCCCACAGACCAGGCGACUUGUUCCCCUGGGGCACAACAAUAGUGAAGUACAGAGCUGCUGAUCACUCCGGUAAUGCCAACACUUGUGAAAUUACUAUUGAUGUUCAAGAAACUGCUUGUAAAGUGCCGCAAUAUCCCUAUGGAGGCUACGCAGACUGUAACCAAUAUGGCAAAGGUUUAAACUGCACAAUAGGCUGCAAAGACGGCUUUCACUUUGCCAUCACUCCACAUGCCAUGUACUCCUGUUCACCUGAUGGACAAUGGCAUCCCCAGAAUUCUAUGCCCUGGCCGGACUGCUCAGAGUAUAAAUAUGUCAAAGAUGUGAAGCUGCCUGUAACGAUAAGCUAUGAAGUGCCAAAGUGCGAUGAAGAAAGUGUUGAUGAACUCAAAGCUAGAAUAAGUAGCAGUCUAGAUUUACAGUUGAACCAGCUCUGUGGACAACAAUAUAAGUGUAUUGUGUCAUACUUAAAUGCAAUGUGUGUUACAAAACAAGGUGCCCUACAUUCAAUAAGAAGACGACGCACUCUUCAAGUUGAUGAUGCAUUGCACACAUCUGAUUUGCAUGAGCAGGAUGAUCAAGUUUCUCAUCAGAUAAUCAACACAAACUCCUCUCAAUCAAAUUCAAAAUUUAUUGUUGAAAUCAUGAUUAAUGCCAAUCAUGCAUCACCAUAUGUCCCCUCUGAUGAAAUUGGUGAUCCAGAAGAACUUCAGAAUCUAGCAAGUGUAUUAGAUAAUGUGAAAGCAUACUUAACCUUUGACAUCACGAGUAAUAUUUUGAACAUGACGCAAGGUGACGAAGAAGCUGUUUUUGCUCAGGUAGAGGGCGUGUGUCCGGCAGGUUCUGUAUUAAAGGACGGCAAUAAAUGUGUAAAAUGUGCUAAAGGAACUUACUAUGAGAAUGGACAGUGUACAUGUUGCAGAGUUGGGACUUAUCAGACUGUAGAGGGUGCACUGUCAUGCCAGGAAUGUCCAACAAACUCCUCCACCUUGCUACCAAGAUCUAAGAAUAGAGAUGACUGCAAAAGCAUUUGUCCCCCUGGAACAUGUUCCAACACAGGCCUGGAACAGUGUGAAAGCUGUAGCCAGGGCAUGUAUCAACCAAACGCUAACAGUACCACAUGUAUGCACUGUCCAUCGAAUACAACUACAGCAACCACCGGUGCUGUCUCACACCUCAACUGUAUAGAGCAAUGCAACCCAGGAUUUGUAUCAGGAACCGGUUUAGUCCCAUGCUACCCAUGUCCAGAAGGAUACUACCAGGCAAACAGAGGAACAAAUUACUGUGAUAAAUGCCCACAGGGAUCAACAACUAACACUGUUGGGUCAACUUCAGCGGCAAACUGUAAUGUUGGGAAGCAAACAUCUCAAAAACCUGGGACGAAUGAAACAGGUACAAGAACGUUAUCAUAUAAUGAAUGCUUCAAACAACCAUGCAAUGACGGUACCUGCCUGAAGAUCAAUGGUGGAUUUGUGUGUCGUUGUCACCCUGGAUUUGAAGGUGCGCUUUGUGGAAUUAAUGUGAAUGAAUGCGAAGGAGUCGUCUGCUUAAAUAAUGGUACCUGCCAAGACGGAAUCAACCAGUUUACUUGCAACUGCAAGCCGGGAUUUCAAGGUGUUCUUUGCGAUGAAGAUGGCAAUGAGUGCGAAUCAAAUCCGUGUCAGAACCAAGGCAGGUGUGUGGAUGCAGUCAACAGCUAUUAUUGUGAUUGCCCAGAAGCUUACACAGGUUUAAAUUGUGAACUAGAAGUGGAUGAAUGCAGCUCAUCCCCCUGUGCUAAUAAUGGAAAGUGUAGUGAUGAAAUUGGUGGAUUUAGGUGCUUGUGUCCUCCAGGGUACUUUGGUGGUAGUUGCCAGUUGGAAAUAAAUGAGUGUAAAAGCACACCAUGUGAGCAUGGAGGCACGUGUGUGGAUGAAGUCAAUGGGUUUAGUUGCAUCUGUCCAGAUGGUUUGGAGGGAGAUCAGUGUCAGAUAAACUCGGAUGACUGUCUGCACAGACCAUGCGUUGAUGGCUCCACAUGCAGAGACCUCGUUAAUGAUUUUGAGUGUUUAUGUCAACCUGGAUAUGGUGGUAAAGUCUGCGAUAUUGAGUUAGAAUCCAACUUCAGUCUGUCCUUUGAGUUCACCGGUACGACAGAUUACGUACUUUUGGACGGCAUUCCUGAUCUGUCAGCAAUAACUGUUGCAUUCUGGAUGCGUACAUCUGAUACAGACAACUGGGGCACAGCCAUUUCAUAUACAGUGGAUUUUGACUUGUUUGAUGAACUUGUUCUAAUGGAUUAUACAGGAUGGGUGUUAAAAGUUCGUAACACAACAGUAAUCACGGAUUUAACGACUAAUGAUGGAGUAUGGCAUCAUAUAGCAGUAACCUGGAGCAGUGUCGGAGGAGAGUGGCAUUUGUAUUGUGAUGGGGAGGAGGUGGUACAGAGACCAACUGUACCUCUAGCAGUCAAUGAUAUCAUUCCAGGUGGCGGUGUGUUUGUGAUUGGUCAGGAACAGGACACCCUCGGUGGUGGAUUCAGCUCUCGUGAAGCUUUCAUUGGAAACAUUAGUCAGCUAAAUGUGUGGGAUUACGCCCUUGAUCAAAAUGAAAUCGCAGCUUUAACGAGAUCGUGUAAGGAGGCCCGGGGCAACGUGAUUGCGUGGCCAGAUGUGAAGAAGGGCAUGUACGGUCGAGUCAAACCUAUACCCAAGAAUUUCUGUUCAGGUUGCCCUCACCCCGUUGAGAUUGAGCAUGGGACAGUAUCUGGGUACGUACCGUCUUUACCACUCCAAAACAUUACUUACACUUGUGAGGCAGGGUUCAUAAUAACUGGCUGGCCAGAGGCAACAUGUGAAGUCUAUGGUGAUUGGCUGUUCCAACACGUACCCCCUGUGUGUACCAAAAAAUACUGUGGACAUCCAGGUUUUGUUGAUGAUGGGGAUGUUAUUGGAGAUGAUUUUGAAUUCAACGACACGAUCCAGUACCGUUGUCACGAUGGUUUUAAAUUACACGGCUCAGAAACGAGGCGGUGCGCUGAGGACGGAGAAUGGGACAGCGAACCUCCUCUGUGUUUAGAAAUCUUGUGCAACAAAGUGCCAACAAUAUCCAAUGGUAAUGUGACGUUCAUCAGUCAAUCUCAAAACCGUCAAGGUUCUACGUUCAGUGUCUCCUGCAAUCAGUUCUACAGGUUGGAAGGACAAGGCACUGUGUCCUGCCAACGAAAUGGCCACUGGACUAAAAUGCCAAGAUGCCGACCUCUAAGUUGCCAGCCGUCUGUAAUCUUUAACGGUUAUCAGAAACAGAACAGCGAUCCAGUCAAAGUUGGUGACCAAGUUACCUACUUCUGUGAUAGAGGAUUUGAAAUUGUAGGAGAAUCAGUUUUUGUCUGUCAAGAAGACCUGAGGUUCAACGGCAGUGUUCCACAUUGUACAAGAAUCGUUUGCUCUUCUGUUCCGUCUGUGCCAAACAGUGAGCACAGUCCCAUUAGAACCAUGUACCACUUUCAUCAUACUAUUCAGUUUACUUGUAUCCAGGGUUUUAUCAUGGAAGGUGUCGCUGUGCUGUCUUGCGUUGACAUGGAGACUUGGGAUGGUCCGCCUCCGCGCUGCAUCCCUCUCACUUGCCUUCCACCCGCUGAGAUUGAGCAUGGACAAAUUAUUGGCACUGAUUUCUCUUUCCAACAUUCCAUCACCUACGAAUGUGAUUCUGGGUAUACAAUUUCUGAGAGAAUACUCCGAAGCUGUCUUGGCAAUGGUACUUGGAGUAAUACCACACCGAAGUGCAUACCAGUUGAAUGCCCUCCCCCAAACCAACAGAACCAUAUGAACAUUACAGGUGAUUCAUUUACAUAUGGUGACGUGUUAUUAUUUACAUGUAGUGAAGGAUAUUGGUUAGAAGGUGAGAGAGUGCUACAAUGUGAAGCUGAUAAGCAAUGGAAUGCAACAGUACCCACAUGUAACAUCGUUGAUUGUGGAAAACCACCACAACUGCAGGAGAGUGUUGCUCACUACAUUACGGGACAUGUGUAUGGCAGUAAAAUGAACUAUUUUUGCAAGGAAGGGUACAGACGCCUGAAGACAGGUACAGAAUUUACGUGUGGACCAGAUGGAACGUGGAUCGGGGAACAACCAUCUUGUAGUAUUAUCUCCUGUCUUCGUCCCAUAAUUCCAAUACAUGGAUUCAUGGAUGGACAGAAUUUUACUUAUGGAAGCACAGUAAGCUUCAGAUGUGAGGAAGGUUACCAGCUGAGUGGAGAUGCAACGAUGACAUGUGGUGCAAAUGGCAGGUGGAGUUCAAAUGUACCAGUGUGUUUGGUUACAUGCAGUAGACCCUUAUUUCAUGCGAACACUAUCAUCACCAGUGAUGGUGGUAUUUUCACCGCCAAUAGCUCAUUGUCUAUAAGUUGCAGCAGAGGUCAAAGAUUAUUGGGGCUGUCCCGUAUUAUCUGUUUAAAGAAUGGCACAUGGUCAGGAGAUCCUGGGCAAUGCAUUGCUAUCCAGUGUAAUCCCCCAGAGAUCCUGCAUGGCAUUCCAGAUGCAAUGGUUUAUCAAGAAAAUCAAACUUUGUCAUUCCAGUGUCUGGAUGGUUAUCAGAAUGUUUAUAGUCAUGAUUUUAUUUGCACAAGUUCUGGUGAAUGGCAAGGGUCCAUGCCAUCAUGUAAACUGAUUUCUUGCCCAAAUAUUACUAAUUUUCAGCACGGAAACAUGGUUGCAUUAGGUUUCACAUAUGGUAGUGAAGUCCAUUUUAGUUGUAACAUUGGAUACCAGCUCAUUGGAGCUGAUCGGGUCAUCUGUAGGGCCAAUGGCGAUUGGAACCCUUUGAUUCCUUUCUGCAUUAUAGUUAGUUGUCCAGAUUUACCAAUUCUGAAAAAUGGUUUAAUUCAACGAGGCAGCAAUACAUAUGGAAGCACUGCAAGGUUUUCAUGUUUAGAGGGAUUCAGGAUUAAUGGACCGGACGCAAUACACUGCUUAGCAACUUCUGAGUGGAGUGCAGCACCACCAACCUGUGAGAUCGUAACUUGUAAGCAGCCAGGAUUAUUAGAAAAUGGUCAUUUUACUGUUAAUGGUGUAAACGUUUCCUACUACUGUCAGCCAGGAUAUUCAUUGAUAGGUCGUAGCAUUUCAGUGUGUCAAGAUGAUGGAACAUGGAGCCAAGAACCCCGUAGCUGUAGGCCAGAUACCUGUCCGAGCCCCCAGAGUUUAGUGAAUGGAUUUUACACACCGCAGAAAGCACAGUACUAUUUUACUGAUGACUUGGUGUAUUCCUGCAAACAGGGCUACACACUUGAGGGAAACGGCCAACACAUAUGCGGUUUGAAUGGCAAGUGGAUUGGUGGGCAUGUUAACUGCAAAAUAAAGUCAUGCCCCCGGCCUGGUCGAAUUUCCAAAGGAUCAGUAUUGGUUAAAACCUCACGGGAUGGAUCACAAAUUAGUCAGUACUCAUGCGAAGAUGGUUACAAAUUAAGGGGGCGCUCGUCAAUAAUAUGUUCAGCGAAUGGUCAAUGGAAUUCUCGGCAACCACAAUGUAUUCUCAUAGAUUGUUCCCUCCCACCUGAUAUAAGUAAUGGUAGAGUCAUGUCCAACAAUGGUACAACAUUUAGGAGUGUGGCUGUAUAUGCAUGCAGUAGAGGAUACCAGCUAAGUGGAACUGAGAAGGUAACAUGUCUAGAAGAUGAGCAAUGGAGUAGAAUACCAAAAUGUGAGAAAGUGAAUUGCCCAACACUUCAUAACCCAGCUCAUGGAUAUGUGCGACAACUAACAACAACAAAUACAGCAAUAUAUAGUUGUUAUGAAGGAUAUAUUAUAAAAGGUUCUCGGCGACGUAGUUGUAAGUUCAAUGGAAGAUGGGCAGGACAGGCUCCAGUAUGUAACCCAGUCAGUUGUGGUGUACCACGUGAAAUAGAACAUGGCAGAAGGACCUACGAUGAAUACACCUUCAGCUCAAAGACGCACUACGAAUGCGAUGAGGGAUUUAAGUUACGAGGCGCAGGUCAAAUCACAUGCAUGAGCUCAGGACGUUGGAAACCCGAGUUGCCCAAGUGUGAUAUUAUUUCAUGCGGAGAACCUGAUAAACCCCAGCAUUCUGUAAUCAAUUAUGUUGAUGGUACAUUUCAGGAUAUUGUUACUUAUAUGUGUGAUAUAGGGUACAUUCUUGAAGGACCAACAGAGAGGAGAUGUUUAUCAGAUGGAUUGUGGAGUAAUGUUACCCCUGUAUGCUCUGCUGUGAAAUGUCCACCACCACCUCUGUUCAUAGGUGCAUUACCUUUGACCACCAAUGCAGAAUACAUAUUUGGAAGCAUAGUUAAUUUCAGUUGUUCUACUGGAUUCAAAAACCAGGGAACAGGAACGAUAAUGUGUGAGGCUAGUGGAACAUGGAAUGUUACGGUUGAUCCGUGUAUUGCGGUAGAAUGUCCGCAUCCAUCUGCCUCCACCCUCCACGAACAGCUUUCAAUGACUGUUCUUGAUUAUUCGGUUGGAGCAGUUAUCACUUUUAGUUGUACCAACAACUAUCAAAUUCAUGGACCAAAAUCAUUAACAUGUGAUAUUAAUGGAAAUUGGAAUGACUCCUUUCCAACAUGCAAAAUGUUUACAUGCCCUAAUUUGACUCUUUCAAAUGGUGAAGUUCGUUUGCACCAACAUGACAAAAGCAGUGUUAAUUUCACAUGCAAUUCUGGGUUUGAACUCAAUGGUGUACAAUCUGUCACCUGUUUUGCAAAUGGUACGUGGAGUCAGCCAAAACCUAGCUGCGUAAAAGUUGAAUCUGCCUGUGGUACACCACCAGCAAUUAACAAUGGUUAUUAUAGAGUGGACAUGUCAAGAAGGGCCCCACAAGCACACUACAUGUGCAAUGCUCGAUACUAUCAGAUGGGACCAAGUUCUACAUUUUGCCUUGAUGGCCAGUGGCAUGGAACACCACCUCAGUGCUUACCAGCACAUGCUGUAUACAAUCCGAGGCCACCGAUUUGCAUCCUACACUGUCGUAAUGGUGGUAUCUGUGUUGGGUACAACCGUUGCAGUUGCCCCGUGGGCUUUAUUGGUGAAAGAUGUCAGAUUGCUAUUCAAAACUGAACACCGAAUACUAAGGCUGUUGAAAGAAAUACACUGAAAAUUUAAAAAAAUGAUAACAUUGAUAAUAAUAUUGACUGGAAGUUACAAUCGGACUCUGUCAUGAUACAAUCAAAAUAGAGAAAUAUUCAGAGUCAGAGGCUUAGUUUUCUACUGUAGGUUUCAACACCUUACUGGUGCCUUUGGCAAUUCACUCAUCUUGAGACCUUGUGUGAUGGUAUAAUAAUCUAUCUAGCAAAAGAACCAAACACGAGAAAAGACGAGAAACAAUAGAAAUCCCCUCCCCCACCCUCUCUUUUUUCCAAGAAUACAGAUACAUCUACUGACGAUGUACAACCCUCUUGUCGUGUGAUUAUACCAACAUGUAAGGUCAUGUGAGCAAGUAAACCACCACUAAGCCUUUCACUCGGAAAGGUAACAAUGCUCUAUAAUGAUAAACAAAAUGUGAUAUCAUAAAGGUAACAAUGCUCUAUAAUGAUAAACAAAAUGUGAUAUCAUAAAGGUAACAAUGCUCUAUAAUGAAAGGUAACAAUGCUUUAUAAUGAUAAACAAAAUGUGAUAUCAUAAAGGUGAUAAUGCAUAGACAAAAUAUAUCAAAGAUGAUAAUGGUAGACAAUUAUAUGAAACAGAUAGUUAUGAUAAACCAAAUAUAUAGGCUUCACAAAGAUGGUUAUGAUAGACUAAAUAUGAUAUUAUUAUUAUUAUUAUUAUUAUUAUUAUUAUUAUUUAUUAUUAUUAUUAUUGUUAUUAGCCAUUUUUUGAGAAUCUUUGACUACCAGUGACUAGCGUGCCUAGUAUGGUAUUAUGGCUUCAAGUGACACAGAACUAGCCUAGUCUAACCAGAAGGCCGAGACCAAAAACCAAUAAAAUAAAAGCAGAUCACGGGCUAUCAGAGGCAGAUAGCCUCUCUCACAUUGUUUCACCAUAUAACAAAGAUGAUAAUGAUAGACAAAAUAUGAUGCCAUACUAAAUAUGAUAAUGAUAGACAAAAUAUGAUUUCAUUAAAAAAAAGAUGAUAAUAAUAAGACAAAAUGUGAUGCUGUAAUAAAGAUAAUAAUAGACAAAAUAAUGCCAUAAUGAAAAUGAUGAUAGACAAAAUAUGAUUACAUAAAAAAAGAUAAUGACAGGCAAAUUAUGAUAUAACAAAGACGAUAAUGAUAGCCAAAAUGUGAUAUAACAAAGAUGACAAUGAUAGCCAAAAUGUGAUGUAAAAAAGACGAUAAUGAUAGACAAAAUGUGAUAUAACAAAGGUGAUAAUGAUAGACAAAAUAUGAUGUCAAAACAUACUGUAUGAUAGUACAUUUCAGGAUUUGCUAUAUAAAUCAAUUUAUUGUAAAUAUUGAUUAUUUGUUUCUUGAUUCACCCCUGGUUUCAUAUUAGUUCUAAGACAGUACAAAUGCAGUAAUGCAUUUAAUAAAAUAAAUGUUAGUAAUAAGUGAAUGUUUUGACGUGUCGCAUGUGAUCAUUAGGCAGUAGUGCUCAUGCUACUACUUGUACCGGUCAGAUGCUUGACAAACUGGCAAAGGUAAGUCAUGAAUAUUAUUAGGAGUGUUCUUACCCCUAUAUGUUUUAAUUUAUAAUAAGAAGUAAACUAAAUUUGUAAAUAAAUUUUGUAUUUUUAAGCUAUUUUUUAUACUCUUUAUAUUUGGAAUGUUUUUAUAGUGUGUUGGACAAAGUGAUUGCUAAGCUGAUAUAAAGAUUGCGUAACCGUAAAUAUCAGCAUAAAAUAGAAUUUUAUCUAUGUCAUAUAAUUAUAUUUGAUACAAGAAGAAAAAAUAAGUAAUAAAAUAUGAUAAUGAACAUUUAUGCAGUUUUCUGCCAUUAUUUUCUGUGUUGUGGUGCAUCCCCUCCAAAAAUUACUUGUGCCACUCCCCCAGUGUGUCACUCCCCCAGUGUACCCCUCCUCCAGUGUGCCCCUUUCCCUAGUGUCCCCCAGUGUCCCUGACAAGAGCGUAAGUGGGUGUGAUCGGGCGUCAGAAUUGGCCCAGUGGUAUCAAAGGCAUAUUUAAUCGAAUUUAGAGUCUUAAUUUAUUUUAAAAAAUACAUAUUUUACCAACAACAAAUUGUAUUUUUCUCCCCGGCGGUGGGAAGGGGAGACAGCUUUUCCCGUAACCCCUGGCACCACCCCUGAUGGUGAUGAUAAAGAUGAUGUUUUUCUUACACACAUUUUUAAUUUAAUAUUUGCCAUCGUCAAUAACGUUGCAUGCUUAUAAUCAUGGAUGUAAGCCCCAUUGAGCAAAAUCUGGAUCCUUCACUGAAGGAAUAUCUAGUAAAAAUGGAGACAUUCUGCAAUUAUAAAAUUACAUUAUUAUUAAAAAAAACCCCUGAAUGAUUAAUUGGUGUAAUUGUCACAGCAAUAAAUGAUGAAUAUUCUAUCAUUUUAACAAAAUUUGUGAAUUAGGCUAGGCUAAACUUGCAGUGAUAAAUGAAGAAUUCAAUAUUU
rnacentral:misc_RNA from 1 species